GACGAACGCUGGCGGCGUGCUUAACACAUGCAAGUCGAACGGAAAGGCCCUGCUUUUGUGGGGUGCUCGAGUGGCGAACGGGUGAGUAACACGUGAGUAUCCUGCCCUUGACUUUGGGAUAACUUCAGGAAACUGGGGCUAAUACCGGAUAGGAGCUCCUGCUGCAUGGUGGGGGUUGGAAAGUUUCGGCGGUUGGGGAUGGACUCGCGGCUUAUCAGCUUGUUGGUGGGGUAGUGGCUUACCAAGGCUUUGACGGGUAGCCGGCCUGAGAGGGUGACCGGCCACAAUGGGACUGAGGUACGGCCCAGACUCCUACGGGAGGCAGCAGUGGGGAGUAUUACACAAUGGGCGGGAGCCUGAUGCAGCAACGCCGCGUGCGGGAUGACGGCCUUCGGGUUGUAAACCGCUUUCGCCUGUGACGAAGCGUGAGUGACGGUAAUGGGUAAAGAAGCACCGGCUAACUACGUG
rnacentral:rRNA from 1 species